rnacentral:rRNA from 1 species
AAUGAACGCUGGCGGCAUGCCUAACACAUGCAAGUCGAACGAAGGCUUCGGCCUUAGUGGCGCACGGGUGCGUAACGCGUGGGAAUCUGCCCCUUGGUUCGGAAUAACAGUUAGAAAUGACUGCUAAUACCGGAUGAUGACGUAAGUCCAAAGAUUUAUCGCCGAGGGAUGAGCCCGCGUAGGAUUAGCUAGUUGGUGUGGUAAGAGCGCACCAAGGCGACGAUCCUUAGCUGGUCUGAGAGGAUGAUCAGCCACACUGGGACUGAGACACGGCCCAGACUCCUACGGGAGGCAGCAGUGGGGAAUAUUGGACAAUGGGCGAAAGCCUGAUCCAGCAAGGCCGCGUGAGUGAUGAAGGCCUUAGGGUUGUAAAGCUCUUUUACCCGGGAUGAUAAUGACAGUACCGGGAGAAUAAGCUCCGGCUAACUCCGUG